UUUUGGUAUUACCCACUAAAAGUGCUCAUCUUGGAAGAGGAUGUGGAGCCUCAGAUGCCUUCUCUGCUUUCCCUAUAUGGUCCAGGAAAGCCUAUUCCCUGAGACUUUUCUCAACAAUCUUACCUCCCAAGACAGACAACACUACUAAAUACACUCCCUGAAGGAUGAAGGCAUCUUGUUCGAGGAAAAUUACCUAGUGACCAUCAAGCAGGCCAUCCAGAGGCAAAACUCCUUAUCUGAGGAAUUUAGAAGUAAUUUGACUUCCCUAUUAUCAAAAGCAUGCAUCUGGUACCAAGCUCUUUUCCCAAAACUUUUAUGAACUUAUGGUUGAAGGCAUUCUCAGGGGUUAACAAGAAUUCUGGACAGAAAUAUGGCUAUAAUGAAACAGCUGAUGACAACCAUUUUGAAGACCCCCACAGAGGAACAGAAUCAACAUGAGAUGGUUUCUUCCUCUCCCCAUCCUAUGACUUCCCCCUGUACUCUUCCACCAAUUAACAAUCUCCACACUUUGACCCACUCCAAAACCCUUAAAAACCCAGCCCCAAACUACCUGGGGAGAUGGAUUUGAGGUUCCUUCCCAUCUUCUCCUUCGAUGGCCCAACCAUUAAACCUCUUUCUCUGCUGUAACCUCGUGUCUCAGCAUAUUGACUUUUUGCACAUAUUGGGCAAAAAAAACCUAUUAUGGUUACUUGAUUGUGAUAACAUCAAAAGUACACUGAAUUUGGAGUCAGGAGACCUGAAUUCUAAUCCUAGCUUUGACAUUAAUUAGCUACGUGGAUAUAGGUAACUCACUUCACUUCUGAAGGCCUCAAAGCCCUCCAAGGAUUUUGAGAUAGGCAAUUUUUCCCUCAACUUAGCAUUAUCAUUUCAUGGUUUUAUGAUGCAACUUUUACAGCAUCACAAUGUUCCAUUAAUAAAAUUAUAUUGGUUUUUCCAUAUUUUUAAAUCUAAACCUUCAAAUAACUAUUUGUUUUCAUUUUUUUCUGGUGUGUUGCCUUUGUCUUUCCCCUUUAUUCUUUCAUGUUUUGCUUACCUAAGGAAAAGCUUACAAGAAGGAGCUGUGUCAACAGUAGUUGGUAUGGAUCCACACUAACUUUUAUUUGGGGUUUUAACUAAGAGAACUUAAUGUAUGACUUAUUGUAAAAUUAUAAAAAUCAAAUCAAGUUUUAUAACAAC
rnacentral:lncRNA from 10 species